UAAUAUGUCAAAUUUCUACUAGUAUAAGGUCUAUAAUUAUCUUAUAAAAAGCUAUAAACUAAAACAAGGAUGAGAUACCCUUCUAUUAUUAGUAUAAAUAAUGAUUGGGGACUACGAGCAAUGGCUUAAAAACCCAAGAUUUUGGCGGUGUUUUAUUCAAUCAGGGGGAUCUGUCUCAUAAUCGAUAACCCCGGGAGCGGGGGCUUACUCUUGAAAGUAACAGUUUGUGUACUGCCGUCCAAUGGGCCCUUAAGGUUACCCGUAAUAAAUUAUCAUAAAUUUUAAGUCAGGUCAAAGUGCAGCUAACGAGAAGGAGAAGAUGGAUCACAAUCUAUAUCAUAGAUGGACCUAUAGCAUAAAGUUAAAAUGAAAAAGAACUUGAUAGUAAUUUUAUUAAUAUAAUAAAAUGAAUAAAAACUUAAAACAAGCACAUAUCGCCCGUCACUCCUUUAUAUAGGAUAAGUCG
rnacentral:rRNA from 1 species